AUUAUUGUGCACUCUGUAAUCAUAGGUUUCCUCAUAAAAAAUAACUGAAUCACUAGUGUGAGUUAUCUGCACAAGUUAAUUAUUGGUUGCGAGCUUUAGUAGAAAGAAAAUUAUUUUGCAAAUGCUACAGAAACAUCCCACAUCACACCUCCCGUCAAACACAGUAGUGCCUUCUCCAAAGCUAUCUUCGGUAGCAAUACAUUUCCCUCAGAAGUGAAAUGAAGGUAUAUGAGUGACAGCUGGCCUCCAUGGGGCGGUGCAGACAGGGGAGUGUCAUUGCUGGAGUACCUCCUGGCUAUCCACAGGAAAUGGAAGAAAACAUGCUGUUUUCACAACGCGGACGACACCGUGUCAAAGGAGGUUAUGGAAGAAAGACUGAAAGCAGUGCACUGGUACCCCUUGCAGCAAUUGGGUAAUGUGCUGUAGUAGUGAACUUUGCAAUAAAGUUUUAUCUCUGCU